rnacentral:rRNA from 1 species
AUUGAACGCUGGCGGCAUGCCUUACACAUGCGAGUCGAACGGUAACGCGGGGCAACCUGGCGACGAGUGGCGAACGGGUGAGUAAUACAUCGGAACGUGCCCAGUAGUGGGGGAUAGCCCGGCGAAAGCCGGAUUAAUACCGCAUACGACCUACGGGUGAAAGCGGGGGAUCGCAAGACCUCGCGCUAUUGGAGCGGCCGAUGUCAGAUUAGCUAGUUGGUGGGGUAAAGGCCUACCAAGGCGACGAUCUGUAGCUGGUCUGAGAGGACGACCAGCCACACUGGGACUGCGACACGGCCCAGACGCCUACGGGAGGCAGCAGUGGGGAAUUUUGGACAAUGGGGGCAACCCUGAUCCAGCCAUGCCGCGUGCGGGAAGAAGGCCUUCGGGUUGUAAACCGCUUUUGUCGGGGAAGAAACGGUCUGCGCUAAUACCGCGGGCUAAUGACGGUACCCGAAGAAUAAGCACCGGCUAACUACGUGCCAGCCGCCGCCGUAAAAC